rnacentral:rRNA from 1 species
UUGAACGCUGGCGGCAGGCCUAACACAUGCAAGUCGAACGGUAACAGAAAGCAGCUUGCUGCUUUGCUGACGAGUGGCGGACGGGUGAGUAAUGUCUGGGAAACUGCCUGAUGGAGGGGGAUAACUACUGGAAACGGUAGCUAAUACCGCAUAACGUCGCAAGACCAAAGAGGGGGACCUUCGGGCCUCUUGCCAUCGGAUGUGCCCAGAUGGGAUUAGCUAGUAGGUGGGGUAACGGCUCACCUAGGCGACGAUCCCUAGCUGGUCUGAGAGGAUGACCAGCCACACUGGAACUGAGACACGGUCCAGACUCCUACGGGAGGCAGCAGUGGGGAAUAUUGCACAAUGGGCGCAAGCCUGAUGCAGCCAUGCCGCGUGUAUGAAGAAGGCCUUCGGGUUGUAAAGUACUUUCAGCGGGGAGGAAGGGAGUAAAGUUAAUACCUUUGCUCAUUGACGUUACCCGCAGAAGAAGCACCGGCUAACUCCGU